rnacentral:rRNA from 1 species
UACGAAGGGGGCUAGCGUUGUUCGGAAUUACUGGGCGUAAAGGGCGCGUAGGCGGCCAUUCAAGUUAGGUGUGAAAGCCCCUGGGCUCAACCUAGGAAUUGCACUUGAUACUGUUUGGCUCGAGACCGGGAAGAGGUAAGUGGAACUGCGAGUGUAGAGGUGAAAUUCGUAGAUAUUCGCAAGAACACCAGUGGCGAAGGCGGCUCACUGGUCCGGUACUGACGCCUGAG